UACGUAGGGUGCAAGCGUUGUCCGGAAUUAUUGGGCGUAAAGAGCUCGUAGGCGGUCUGUUGCGUCGGCUGUGAAAACCCGGGGCUCAACUCCGGGCCUGCAGCCGAUACGGGCAGACUAGAGUUCGGCAGGGGAGACUGGAAUUCCUGGUGUAGCGGUGAAAUGCGUAGAUAAUCGGGAGGAACACCGGUGGCGAAGGCG
rnacentral:rRNA from 1 species